AACGAACGCUGGCGGCAUGCCUAACACAUGCAUGUCGAACGAGACCUUCGGGUCUAGUGGCGCACGGGUGCGUAACGCGUGGGAAUCUGCCCUUGGGUUCGGAAUAACUUCGGGAAACUGAAGCUAAUACCGGAUGAUGACGUAAGUCCAAAGAUUUAUCGCCCAAGGAUGAGCCCGCGUAGGAUUAGCUAGUUGGUGAGGUAAAGGCUCACCAAGGCGACGAUCCUUAGCUGGUCUGAGAGGAUGAUCAGCCACACUGGGACUGAGACACGGCCCAGACUCCUACGGGAGGCAGCAGUGGGGAAUAUUGGACAAUGGGCGAAAGCCUGAUCCAGCAAUGCCGCGUGAGUGAUGAAGGCCUUAGGGUUGUAAAGCUCUUUUACCCGGGUAUGAUAAUGACAGUACCGGGAGAAUAAGACUCCGGCUAACUCCGUGCCAGCAGCCGCGGU
rnacentral:rRNA from 1 species